rnacentral:misc_RNA from 1 species
AAGUCGUAACAAGGUUUCUCUUGGGGAACAACACCUGCAGAAGCCUUGGAUACAAGUCUACCUACGUAGGCAACAUCUUCACCAUGCUUGGAUACCGUCAGGGUAACAUGCAGCUGCUUUUAUCGCAGUCCACAGAUCAAACGAAGGUGGUCCAAAGAGGGUCGACAAAACCUUUCUUGGAUUCAGAUAUGACCGGCCUACCUCUGAAAGAGUCGUAGACUAUAGCGUUCCGUAGGUGAACCUGCGGAAGGAUCAUUACAGAGAAAUUGCCCUUCGGGGUAGAUCUCCCACCCUUUGUUU